rnacentral:rRNA from 1 species
GAUGAACGCUAGCUACAGGCUUAACACAUGCAAGUCGAGGGGUAACGAGAGGAAAGCUUGCUUUCCUUGUCGACGACCGGCGCACGGGUGAGUAACGCGUAUCCAACCUGCCCCCAACUAGGGAAUAACCUUGCGAAAGUAAGACUACUACCCUAUAAUUUCCUCAGAUGACAUCUGACGAGGAAUAAAGAUUUAUCGGUUGUGGAUGGGGAUGCGUCUGAUUAGCUUGUUGGCGGGGUAACGGCCGACCAAGGCAACGAUCAGUAGGGGUUCUGAGAGGAAGGUCCCCCACAUUGGAACUGAGACACGGUCCAAACUCCUACGGGAGGCAGCAGUGAGGAAUAUUGGUCAAUGGGCGGAAGCCUGAACCAGCCAAGUAGCGUGCAGGAUGACGGCCCUAUGGGUUGUAAACUGCUUUUAUACAGGAAUAAAGUUAGCCACGUGUGGUUAUUUGUAGGUACUGUAUGAAUAAGGACCGGCUAAUUCCGUGCCAGCAGCCGCCGUAA